GCGACAGGCUUAACACAUGCAAGUCGAGGGGCAGCGGGGGUAGCGAUACCCGCCGGCGACCGGCGCACGGGUGAGUAACGCGUAUGCAACUUGCCUAUCAGAGGGGGAUAACCCGGCGAAAGUCGGACUAAUACCGCAUGAAGCAGGGGCCCCGCAUGGGGAUAUUUGCUAAAGAUUCAUCGCUGAUAGAUAGGCAUGCGUUCCAUUAGGCAGUUGGCGGGGUAACGGCCCACCAAACCGACGAUGGAUAGGGGUUCUGAGAGGAAGGUCCCCCACAUUGGUACUGAGACACGGACCAAACUCCUACGGGAGGCAGCAGUGAGGAAUAUUGGUCAAUGGCCGAGAGGCUGAACCAGCCAAGUCGCGUGAGGGAUGAAGGUUCUAUGGAUCGUAAACCUCUUUUAUAAGGGAAUAAAGUGCGGGACGUGUCCCGUUUUGUAUGUACCUUAUGAAUAAGGAUCGGCUAACUCCGUGCCAGCAGCCGCGGUAAUACGGAGGAUCCGAGCGUUAUCCGGAUUUAUUGGGUUUAAAGGGUGCGUAGGCGGCCUUUUAAGUCAGCGGUGAAAGUCUGUGGCUCAACCAUAGAAUUGCCGUUGAAACUGGGGGGCUUGAGUAUGUUUGAGGCAGGCGGAAUGCGUGGUGUAGCGGUGAAAUGCAUAGAUAUCACGCAGAACCCCGAUUGCGAAGGCAGCCUGCCAAGCCAUUACUGACGCUGAUGCACGAAAGCGUGGGGAUCAAACAGGAUUAGAUACCCUGGUAGUCCACGCAGUAAACGAUGAUCACUAGCUGUUUGCGAUACACUGUAAGCGGCACAGCGAAAGCGUUAGGUGAUCCACCGGGGGAGUACGCCGGCAACGGUGAAACUCAAAGGAAUUGACGGGGGCCCGCACAAGCGGAGGAACAUGUGGUUUAAUUCGAUGAUACGCGAGGAACCUUACCCGGGUUUGAACGCAUUCGGACCGAGGUGGAAACACCUUUUCUAGCAAUAGCCGUUUGCGAGGUGCUGCAUGGUUGUCGUCAGCUCGUGCCGUGAGGUGUCGGCUUAAGUGCCAUAACGAGCGCAACCCUUGCCACUAGUUACUAACAGGUAAAGCUGAGGACUCUGGUGGGACUGCCAGCGUAAGCUGCGAGGAAGGCGGGGAUGACGUCAAAUCAGCACGGCCCUUACAUCCGGGGCGACACACGUGUUACAAUGGCGUGGACAAAGGGAGGCCACCUGGCGACAGGGAGCGAAUCCCCAAACCACGUCUCAGUUCGGAUCGGAGUCUGCAACCCGACUCCGUGAAGCUGGAUUCGCUAGUAAUCGCGCAUCAGCCAUGGCGCGGUGAAUACGUUCCCGGGCCUUGUACACACCGCCCGUCAAGCCAUGGGAGCCGGGGGUACCAAGAGUCCGUAACCGCGAGGAUCGGCCUAGGGUAAAAC
rnacentral:rRNA from 1 species